rnacentral:rRNA from 1 species
UACGUAGGGAGCAAGCGUUGUCCGGAAUCAUUGGGCGUAAAGCGCGCGUAGGUGGCUUCGUAAGUCCGCUGUGAAAGUCGGGGGCUCAACCCUCGAAUGCCGGUGGAUACUGUCGGGCUAGAGUGCGGAAGAGGCGAGUGGAAUUCCUGGUGUAGCGGUGAAAUGCGCAGAUAUCAGGAGGAACACCUAUUGCGAAGGCAGCUCGCUGGGACGUUACUGACGCUGAGACGCGAAAGCGUGGGGAGCAAACAGG